CUGCCGUGCCCUUCCCUGAUCACUGCUGCUGCAUACUCCCUCUCUUUCUCUGUCACAGAGCAACUGGAGAUCUCGCGCGCUUUACAUCGUUUUGAAACAAUACUCGUUGGCGCGCAUCCAGGCGAAGGGAGACGAAGGUAGCCCUCGACGCCUCUUUUUCCCUUCGAACAUCGAUUACAACUAUAUGUGCACGCGUGCUGAAACGGUAUCCGUGUUACGUCCUUCGUUCUGCUCUUCCUAGCCCCCUUGUGCGACGUAGGAGGAUGGCGAAUGCGGUGGAGCCAUCUGCUGGGGCCCCGGCACCCGUCUACAAGCUCCCUCAGCGCGAUCUGUUUGACUUGGUGGCGACAAACGAUGUCGCCUCUUUGCUGAUUCUCGUGCGCGGCGACAACCCCUUCGACGUGAGCCCUGGCAUGGAGCUCAUCCGAUACAAAAUGAGCGUGCGGCGCUUCGCUAAUAUGGCGUGCGCCGAGAAUGCAUACGUGGUGUCAAAUGCGGUCCCACAGGUCGAAACUGCGCAAAUCCCGCGCAUACGCGAUGCGAGCGGCAACAGCGCCACUCACGUGGCCGCUAGCCUUGGUUUCUCUUGCAUGGUAGAUAUUUUGGUCACUGAGUGUGGCUGCGCCGUGGACGAGUACAAUGCAAGUGGUCUCACGCCGUUGCACCUGGCAGCGCUGCACGGCCACGUCGACUCUGCUCGCUUGCUUCGCGACCUAGGCGCCGAUCCUCUGAAUCCCACUUACUGCAACCCGCCCUCCUCAGCCGGGCGCAAUCGUGGCUUCUGUGGUCGCACCACACUGUUUCUCGCCCACUUGAAGCAGCAAGCGGCUGUUGUAGCGCUUCUCCUUCCCCUCUACCACGAGUUUAUCGCCACCACGUUUCGUGGCAAAACAGCGACAGAGGUCUGGAAGGCAGCUGCAACGGGGCAGGACGUGAAGUCUCUGUCGCUGCUUCUGGACGUUUUGGAGUGCCGUGGCACGGUGAUUGGCGCCCUUCCUGUUUCCAUCGACUUCGACGUGGAGGAUGCGCUGUGGGAGGUGCUGCCGGCAGUGCUGGAGACGAUUCUACCAUCAAGUCGCCAAAUGACGCUCUGCCAGUUUUUCUUGUUCGAGCGCCUUGUCCACCUCGGCUACGUUGAUGAAACCACUGUCGUAGGUUCUUCGGACACCGUACUUGAGCGUGUUCUGAGCACAGCGCAUGUGCGAGCGUGGCGUGCGCUGAUAGAGCACGGGCUUGUACAGCCUCACAAGUGCAAUCUCGAUGCGGUGCACAGCAGCGAGCGCGGUGACGCAAGCGAAGCGGAGCUCCGCGCCCUGAUUGAGGAAGCGAAGGCAUACUUUAGCUACCAAGUCGCGAAGAAGUCCUAUGCUGAGAAGGGGGACAGCCACAGACGACGGAGUACCUUGUUGAAUCGCCGAAGCGUGUGGAAGCAGUUGCAAAACGAUCUCAAGCAACUAUCGCUGUCCCCUGCGCGGUGCCCUCAAUCGUAGGUGCCCCCAGCAUCUUCGCGUGUCGACGCCUUGCUCUCUCGUAUGCGGACGUGUGUGAUUCAGCCGGGCUAUCGAUCCCUACGUGGUAACGUGUGCCUGCCUCUUUGCAGCUGAGGUCUUCUUUGCCUCUCUCUGAUUUGAUGUAGGAUUUCCGGACGUUAUCAUGUACACUAUGAGUCCUGCAAGUAGGCAGUCGAGAAGAACAACAGCGUAAAAUGGACCUCUCCUCCGAAGUAGACACCGUCUCAGGUGCGGCGACGGCUUCCGAUGUAUUACCAUGUUUUUGCCUUCUCUCUGUGGUAGUGGUCCCAUUGGCUCAUCUACCCACAGCGUAGGCAUGCAGAUUCCG
rnacentral:misc_RNA from 1 species